rnacentral:rRNA from 1 species
UGGGGAAUCUUGCGCAAUGGGCGAAAGCCUGACGCAGCCAUGCCGCGUGAGUGAUGAAGGCCUUAGGGUUGUAAAACUCUUUCACCGGGGACGAUAAUGACGGUACCCGGAGAAGAAGCCCCGGCUAACUUCGUGCCAGCAGCCGCGGUAAUACGAAGGGGGCUAGCGUUGCUCGGAAUUACUGGGCGUAAAGGGCGCGUAGGCGGAUCAGCAAGUUGGGGGUGAAAGCCCGGGGCUCAACCUCGGAAUUGCCUUCAAAACUGCUGAUCUAGAGUACGGGGAGGUGUGUGGAACUCCGAGUGUAGAGGUGAAAUUCGUAGAUAUUCGGAAGAACACCAGUGGCGAAGGCGACACACUGGCCCGUUACUGACGCUGAGGCGCGAAAGCGUGGGGAGCAAACAGGAUUAGAUACCCUGGUAGUCCACGCUGUAAACGAUGAUUGCUAGUUGUCGGCAGGCAUGCCUGUCGGUGACGCAGCUAACGCAUUAAGCAAUCCGCCUGGGGAGUACGGUCGCAAGAUUAAAAACUCAAAGGAAUUGACGGGGUCAUAGCUGUUU